CAGUCGCCACGGUAAUACGGAGGGUGCAAGCGUUAAUCGGAAUUACUGGGCGAGAGCGCACGCAGGCGGUUUGUUAAGUCAGAUGUGAAAUCCCCGAGCUUAACUUGGGAACUGCAUUUGAAACUGGCAAGCUAGAGUCUUGUAGAGGGGGGUAGAAUUCCAGGUGUAGCGGUGAAAUGCGUAGAGAUCUGGAGGAAUACCGGUGGCGAAGGCGGCCCCCUGGACAAAGACUGACGCUCAUGUGCGAAAGCGUGGGGAGCAAACAGGAUUAGAUACCCCUGUAGUCCCUGUCUCUUAUACA
rnacentral:rRNA from 1 species